rnacentral:rRNA from 1 species
UUAGGAAUUUUGCGCAAUGGGCGAAAGCCUGACGGAGCAAUACCGCGUGAGGGAAGACUGCCUAUGGGUUGUAAACCUCUUUUUUCAGUGAGGAAUAAAUGACGUUAACUGAAGAAUAAGCAUCGGCUAACUCCGUG